rnacentral:lncRNA from 10 species
CUGGUCCUCUGAGCCCUAGGCACCCUGCAUCUCUGUUUGUGCUCACAGAGGACAGAGUUACCGAGAGGAGGGACUACUGCACUCGGAGGCCGGACAGCAGAACUGGUGAGCGUCUUCCUCUUCCUCUUCCUCAGUCUCCUCCUCCUCCUCCUCUUCCCUGGGGCCAGGAAGGGCGGGGUAGAGGCCACAGGCGGUGGGUGACAGAGAGAGGCAGAGGCAUUAGUUUGCAGAGCAGGGGAGAUACGCGAAGGGCCAGGACCGGAACCAGAAGGUGGGACGAGAAUGGGGGUCAGGGUGGGGAGGCCAGUGUGAUGGAUUAUCCAGGGUCACACCCAACUCAGUGUGCUGGGACAGCCCUCCCCCACACCCAGCCUGGGCUCAGUCUUAAGGUCACCCUCAGCGUAUAUCAACUCCCUUUCUAACCCUGCCAGGUGCCUGACCCUCAUUUUAAUAUAAUAACAGCAACCUGCUCUCAUUUUGCACGCAUCAUCUCACUUAGCCCCUACAACAGCUCUGCAGAGGAGCAUUUUAGAGAUGAGGGAAUUAAAACUCAGAAAGGUUAGAUAACUUGCUCUAGGUCACACAGCUGGGUAAGUGGUAGAGUCAGGAUUUGAACCCAGAGUUUUUGGAGCUCCAAGUCUCAGACUCAUCCCACUAGGUCCUUUGGGUGAACUUGGCACUAUCUCUAGAAACCCACCCUGCUCUUGAAGGACAAGGAUUUGUAUUUCCUGAAGGUUCAGGCUCAGGAAAAUGGGAGAUACUUGGAAAUGGAGUACGGAAAGCCCACAGCUUUGGAAGCAAACAGACCUGGGUUCAAAUCCCAGCUCUACAAGUGGUUCCAGGCUAUAUGCCCUUGAGCGCAUUAUUGUCACUCUUGGAGCCUCAGUUUCCUCGUCUGUAAAAAUGGGGCUCGUGAUGUGAACCUCCCAGGACUGUUGCAAGAACUAGAACAUAUAUCAAGUGUCUGGCAAACACCAGCAAUGGGAACAUGGUGGUGAUUAUUGUUAACUACUCGUGAGCUGAAUCUAAUUCCCAAAGUGGCCGUCUGCCCACACAGAAGCAGCCACAGCAGUGGGAGAAGAGUCGCUGCAGGAACAAGCACCUAUCCCUAGGGUGCUGCUGAGCAGUACCAGGGGCCAGGCUGCAUGUGGCAUUCACUGGUGCUGGGCUACAGUUUCAUAUGGUGGAUGGACAGACAGUUGGGCUGGGAGGGGACCAGGUGACUUGGGAGUGACAAGGCUGACCUUCUGGGGACAGACAAGGAAACAGUUACCCUCAUUCCCAGACCCCUUGGCUCAGGGGAUGCAGGAAUUAUGGAAUCCAGGAGACUGGAAGAAUGGGAAGAGGUGGGAAGGAACGCAGACAGGGAAGUGAAGGGAAAGGAAAGGAAGGCAUUGCUGUCCAUCUGAUGCACAGACAAGCACACACACGCACGCACACGCCUUUCUCAGACUCAGAGCUCCCUCUGACACAUUGUUCCACGGACUUCCUGAAUCAGCAAAAUCACAUGAAGCAGGGCGCAAGUUCUGGGCAAGUAGCCCUCCCUUUCUGAGUGUCCCAUUCCUCAUCUAUAAAAACAGAAGAUCCACACCUCUCCAGGCUGUCAUGAGGAACAAGUGAUAUUCCAUUCCCACUGCUCACUCCCCUCUUUUCCAGGCGAGGCCCCUGCUUCCUCUCCCCCUAACACUGCAGUCACCUCCUGAUUUCUUCUCCCUCCCUUCUUGAACCACAUUAGCCUUCCUAAAGCCCACCUUCAAGCAUGCAUCUCUUCUGCUCAGACACCCACUGCCUCCUGGAUAAAGUUCAGGGUCCUCAAGUUGGCAUUCAAGGCUCUCCCACCAUAUGGCCUCACCAGGCCUUUCCUGUUAGAUGGCAAAAGCACAGGCUAUGGAAUCAGACGGACCUGAGUUUCAAUACCAGCCCCAUCAUUUACUAGCCGGAUGACCUUGGGUCCAUUUCUUCACCAUUCCAGGACACACUUUCCUUACCUGCAAACUGAGGAAAUACCUAUUCUGCAGGGUGCAGUGGGACUAAAGGAAUUCAAAUAUGUACUAAGCAAGGCUGGUGCUUAGUGCAUGGUAACUAUUAUUAUAACGGCCAUUAUAGUGGUAUCCAUGUUCCCUACUCACUGAUGCCCAGCCUUCAUCAAGCUAGCUUGUUCAUUAUUCCAUCAGCAUGCCUGGCCUUUUCACAUCUCUAUGUGUGUGCUGAUUCUGUUUCUUCCACUUAGAAUACUCUUCCCUCUGCACAGAUCUUUGCCUAUUACCAUCCUUUCUGAAUUUCCUGACCCAGCUCAAGUGCCACUUCCUAAGGAAGUCCUAGCCAGAAGUAUUCUCUGCUUCCUUCCAGCUCCAGCAUCCGUUCCCUUGGCCAGGGCUCUCCAUUUGUUGCUUUGAACUUUCCUGAAGCAUUUCUUUCACCAAUCCCCCAAUACCCUUGUAUCCCCACCACUAUCACUGCUUUGCUCCUCUGUAAGAAAGAGGGGGCCCCUCUAGCAUUUAGGGCCAG